UAGCCAUCUCCCUGAUUUGAUAGUUUCAGGUAUGAAGCCUGAAUUGUGGGUAUUGUAGUUCUCUUGCCUUCCAGCGUUUCUGGUUGGGCAGCAUCUGUGUCACGUUGGUAGGUAUUUGAAUUCCAGGUAGCUCUGUCAGGAAGAGUGCUGGUGCUCUUGGAUCACGGAGACAGGCAUGUGCCUAAGCUGAAGAAACCUGGCCUCAUAUCCACAGAUGUAUUGUGGAUGAAGCUUCCCUACCAUUUUUAGGAGCCUCAAUUUCAAAGCAGAUUUCCUGGCCCUUGACUU
rnacentral:lncRNA from 1 species